GGCUGGAAGCUGAUUGCAAAUUAAGUGUGAGGCUUUCUGUACUGUAAAGAGUAGUUUCUUGCUGCAUCCAAUUAAGCUACUCCAGUUCUUUUGGCCAGAAGAUUGAGAAGACCUAUAGCUGAGUCUGUCCUUGAUGCCACUGUUGGGGUGCUGUUGGAGCCUGCCCAAGGGUGAAUAACAGAUCAUAUGUGCAAGGUUUCUUAUCAGGGUAUUGCCUCCUCUGUUACUUCUGACACCCAACCUGAAACUUGUAAUUUAACUGCACAUAUUAAAAGCAGCUGGAAGUUCAGCCAAGGGAGAUCCUGAGAGGGAGUGACAUGGAUGAUACCUGGAGGAAUCUCAGCACAAGAUGAUCUGCCUUCCAUAAAUGUGAACAAAAUGGUAGGUGUUCCUGGUUCAUUUCUGAGCCUCAUAUCGUAUAUAUUUCUUAAACCGCUUCUUGGAUUUGCUAAUAACAUCUAAGAAUGAAAGAAGAUGCACCCAUAUACUGUGAGAUGCCACAUUCUAUUAUUUAAAAAUAAUAAUAAUGAUAGCAAAAUAAAAUAACUAAUAUUAAAGAGAAAAUUGGCAAUAACUUGAUAACCUUUGACUGAUGAUAACUGUCAUGUUCCACAUUUUCCUUAGUUGUUCCCAUGGGGCUUUCAUCAUUCAUGCCUGUCAAUUACUGUAAAUUAAGCAAUCAUUUCUAUUGACCUUUGGUGUCUUGCUCCCAGUGUAUUCAU